GUAUUUCCGACUUUUUUCAAAAAAAUCAUUUUAAAGUUUCUCAGAACAACCAAUGACUAUUAAGUCAUCCAUAAAAAUAAAUAAAUGCCUUCUCAAGCAUUUCUAGUCCAGAGAAUGCAAUAGGCAUCAUACUCUGAAAUUAAUUAGACGCCAUUUUUUCGAGUUCAAUUUGAUGAAAUCCUGACUUCAAGUUAAAGCAUGCAAGACAUAUUUUGUUCGACCUAGUUGAUCCAAAAUAUUAUCUAUUCUGGGAAGUGGAAUGUUAUCAGAUAUUAAUUUCUUGAAAAUCUGACGAUAGUCAAUUACUAAACGCCAUUUAUUUUUUUCUGACCCGAAGGAUGGUUUGUUAAUGACAAAUAACAAUGGGUUGUUAUAUUCAGAUACAGAUGGUUCAGCAAUCCCGCAUGUGAUCAAUUCUUCGACUUGCUUAUGUGGGCAUAGGGAAUAGCGUAUUGUCAAUCCACGAAAUUAAAGUCAUGUGGAUUUAUAUACUUAGAUUUGGUAACUUCUUGACUUAUUCCUUUUAUAUCUAUAAUAUAAUUAUCUUAAAAGUCUUGAAAGACAUCAGAAUUUCCUUUUAAAAAAGAUAUGUCUGCACCUAGGCCGAUUAAAAAGACAAGUUAUUUUCCCGAAGCAAGAGUUUACAGAAUCAAUAUUUUCUGGUUUUAUAGAGUUAAUUGCUUUUCGUGGACUAUGUACGCUGUGUGAGAAAAAAAAUUAAUAUAAUAAUAUACUGCAAAAAAUUGACUUUUGCGCUAUUAGAACGGAUCUUUGGAUGUUUCAGGCUAAGGAAGCAUUCAUUAGUGUCACAUGCACAUUUGUCGCAAAUGAUUUUAGGCUGCAAAUUGCUGUUUUGUCGACAAAGAGAUUACUUUGUGAAACAAAUUACUCGGCACAACAUAUUCAAGAGAGUUUACAAGCCGUUUUCGAUAAUAUCUUCUAAAAUUGUUGCCAUAG